rnacentral:tRNA from 1 species
GGUAGGGUAUCCAAGUGGUCAAAGGAUGCGGACUGUAAAUCCGUCCGGUUAUACCGUUCGUGGGUUCGACCCCCACCCCUACCA